rnacentral:lncRNA from 1 species
CAGGGGCCCUUUGUAGUUAAAGAUAAGAGAACAGACCAGGAAAGCAGUGACCAACAUCUCCAUGCAUUAUACCUCCUUGGAAGCAUCCCAAACUUGCAACCUACCCCCAGAAAUAGCUCUGAAAAUAGCAGCAUGAAAAAGCUUGAAGGUGGCAGCCAAUCAGAACUGGUUCAAAGAGAGGUCAGCAACAUUUAUGGGGCACACACCCAGUGCAAGGCCCUUUGUCAGCUACUGAGGAGAGACCCAGAGAGAAAACAGGAGGACACCAAGCUCUGUUUACUGUUUCACAAGGGACCGUCACUUGCUUGGUCCUGUUGACUCCAUCUGUCAGAAUCAACUUCCAUUCAGAAGUCUCCUUGCUGAGCUCCGUCAAUUACAUCAAUGAAGCACCGGUUCAAACAUCAAAGGGAGCCUCCACGAACUGAGCAGCAACUUCCAGAAUUUUCAAUUAAGUGAAAUCGAUCUCAUUUAUUACCUGCUUCAAUAUUUUUUGAAAACUGUGAUUUAAUCAAAUUUAAAAGGCUUGUGGUUCAAAAUUACUAAUAUGGGGAAAUGUUUUGCAUGCUUAUACAGGUACCAGCUAUAUCAUAUUAUUUAUUGUCUCAGAGGGGAGGAGGGCAAGGAAGAUCAGAAGAAGGGAGAGAAUCUGGAACUCAAAACUUUUUAAAAAAUGAAUGUUAGGGGCAGCUGAGUGGUUCAGUGGAUUGAGAGUCAGCCCUAGAGAAGGGAGGUCCUAGGUUCAAAUCUGGCCUCAGCCACUUCCUAGCUGUGUGACCCUGGGCAAGUCACUUGACCCCCAUUGCCUAGCCCUGACCACUCUUCUGCCUUGGAGCCAAUACACAGUAUUGACUCCAAGAUGGAAGGUAAGGGUUUAAAAAAAAUGAAUGUUAAAUUGUUUUUCCAUGUAAUGGGGGAAAAUAUAAUCUAAAAUUUAAAAAUAAAAAAUAAAGGGAUUGUGGUUU